AUACGGAGGGUGCAAGCGUUGUUCGGAAUUACUGGGCGUAAAGAGUACGUAGGCGGUUGCUUAAGUCAGAUGUGAAAGUCCUCGGCUCAACCGGGGAAGUGCAUUUGAAACGGGCAGACUUGAGUACUGGAGGGGGUGGUGGAAUUCCCGGUGUAGAGGUGAAAUUCGUAGAUAUCGGGAGGAAUACCGGUGGCGAAGGCGACCACCUGGCCAGAUACUGACGCUGAGGUGCGAAAGCGUGGGGAGCAAACAGGAUUAGAAACCCGAGUAGUCC
rnacentral:rRNA from 1 species